rnacentral:lncRNA from 1 species
AGCAACCUAUCUUGGACACAAAGCAACUCACUUGAUCUUAGAUCAAGUUGAGUUUGAUUUGGAUCAAAGAAGAUUAAACCUCUCAUAUGUCAAGACCAACCACAAGACAUUAACUCAUUGGCCAAAAUGAAAAGAGAAGUGAGAUGAAGAUGAAAUGAAUAAAAGGAGAAUUCAAAUGUCAAAUACAAUUGGUCAAAAGUGAAUCAAAUCAUCAUCAACCAAUGUAAAACAGAAGAGAAA